rnacentral:tRNA from 1 species
UUUCUUGUAGUUAAAUGUCUGUAACGAUGGCUUUUCGAGCCAUAAAACCUGGGUAAGAACCAGGCAAGAACU